rnacentral:rRNA from 1 species
GACAGAGGGUGCAAACGUUGUUCGGAAUUACUGGGCGUAAAGCGCGUGUAGGCGGCUUGGCAAGUCGGGUGUGAAAGCCCCGGGCUCAACCUGGGAAGUGCACUCGAAACUGCUUCGCUUGAGUACUGGAGAGGGUAGUGGAAUUCUCGGUGUAGAGGUGAAAUUCGUAGAUAUCGAGAGGAACAUCGGUGGCGAAGGCGGCUACCUGGACAGUUACUGACGCUGAGACGCGAAAGCGUGGGGAGCAAACAGGAUAGAU